GCAGGAAAUCCAAUAUAUUACCACAGUCAAAAGUCACUUUAAUUCUUUCAAAAUCCGUUCAUGUUUUUUAAUGCAGUUCAUGAUUUUAAUAAAACAGGAAAUUACCGUUUGGCGGUCACGCGCGAGCACUUUAGCUGCAGGAAUAGUCUUUUUUAUAGAGAGUUUUUGCACUAAUGGCGGAUGGUUUAAAAAAAAAAAUUAAAAAAUUGGAGGUCGGGGACUUUUAUCAGGACGGGCGGGGACGCUAAACAAGUAAUUUUUUUAUGUGGCCUUAUGCAUGCGCUUGUAUGAUCAUAUAUAAACAAAGUGGGCAUUGUGUUUGCAUAUUCACUUAUCCAUGUCUAAUAUCUAUCUUUCUGUUAAUCAGUUAUGUAGACAAACAAAAGAUUUUAUAACUGGUAGCAUAUCUACUGAAAACUUGCCUACAAUAAACUCCACGAAGUUCCCAAGGCUGAGCGUCGCAUUCUCGUCGUAUAAAGACCACAUAUAAACAACAGACAAGCUUCGAAUUACACACUUCAGUUCAGUGGCUGGUGUUCAGUAUUUAAAACUGAUGGCAGAUUUAGAUAACAUCCAAAUAUGGAAAGUAGAAGAAAUGCAAAAUAAGGAGGUCCAAGGCUAAAAAAGCAAUUUGUUAAAAAUGCACAAAAAAAUCUUUAAGUUUUUCAUUACGAAAAUGGUCUAUGUUUGUUUUGUUCCAAAAGUGGUAUAUUGCAUGUAAUCAAUUCGUAUUGCAUGCAUGUGAUCAAUUUGAUUGUCAGUUGAUGUAUUAAUUAACCAUGGCGAGAAAUAAUGGUCACGCACGCGCAUUGAGUGCUUAUGUUUUGUAUGGGACUUAGCGAAAUAAUCGCCCUAGCUCUUAACCUGGCG